UGCCAGCCGCCGCGGUAAUACGGAGGGUGCUAGCGUUGUUCGGAAUUACUGGGCGUAAAGAGCGCGUAGGCGGUCUGGUAAGUUGGUAGUGAAAUCCCAGGGCUCAACCCUGGAACUGCUAUCAAAACUGUUAGACUAGAGUAUGGUAGGGGAUAGUGGAAUUCCUAGUGUAGAGGUGAAAUUCGUAGAUAUUAGGAGGAACACCAGAGGCGAAGGCGACUAUCUGGGCCAUUACUGACGCUAAGGCGCGAAAGCGUGGGGAGCAAACAGGAUUAGAUA
rnacentral:rRNA from 1 species